rnacentral:rRNA from 1 species
GAGUUUGAUCCUGGUUCAGGAUGAACGCUAGCGACAGGCUUAACACAUGCAAGUCGAGGGGCAGCACAGGUAGCAAUACCGGGUGGCGACCGGCGCACGGGUGAGUAACGCGUAUGCAACUUACCUAUCAGAGGGGGAUAACCCGGCGAAAGUCGGACUAAUACCGCAUAAAGCAGGGAUCCCGCAUGGGAAUAUUUGCUAAAGAUUCAUCGCUGAUAGAUAGGCAUGCGUUCCAUUAGGCAGUUGGCGGGGUAACGGCCCACCAAACCGACGAUGGAUAGGGGUUCUGAGAGGAAGGUCCCCCACAUUGGUACUGAGACACGGACCAAACUCCUACGGGAGGCAGCAGUGAGGAAUAUUGGUCAAUGGGCGUAAGCCUGAACCAGCCAAGUCGCGUGAGGGAUGAAGGUUCUAUGGAUCGUAAACCUCUUUUAUAAGGGAAUAAAGUGUGGGACGUGUCCUAUUUUGUAUGUACCUUAUGAAUAAGGAUCGGCUAACUCCGUGCCAGCAGCCGCGGUAAUAC